rnacentral:rRNA from 1 species
AGCGAACGCUGGCGGCAGGCCUAACACAUGCAAGUCGAACGGACCUUUCGGGGUUAGUGGCGGACGGGUGGGUAACACGUGGGAACGUGCCUUUAGGUUCGGAAUAGCUCAUGGAAACGGGUGGUAAUGCCGAAUGUGCCCUUAGGGGGAACGGUUUAUCGCCUUUAGGGCGGGCCGCGUGUGAUUAGCUAGUUGGUGAGGUAAUGGCUCACCAAGGCUACGAUCAGUAGAUGGUCUGAGAGGAUGACCAGCCACAUUGGGACUGAGACACGGCCCAAACUCCUACGGGAGGCAGCAGUGGGGAAUCUUGCGCAAUGGGCGAAAGCCUGACGCAGCCAUGCCGCGUGGAUGAUGAAGGUCUUAGGAUUGUAAAAUCCUUUCACCGGUGAAGAUAAUGACUGUAGCCGGAGAAGAAGCCCCGGCUAACUUCGUGCCAGCCGCCGCUGUAA